CAGUCGCCGCGGGAAUACGAAGGGUGCAAGCGUUAAUCGGAAUUGCUGGGCGUAAAGCGUGCGUAGGCGGUGAGUUAAGUCUGCUGUGAAAUCCCCGGGCUCAACCCGAAGUCUGCAUAGGAAACUGUCGGGCUUGAGUAUGGGAGAGGUGAGUGGAAUUUCCGGUGUAGCGGUGAAAUGCGUAGAUAUCGGAAGGAACACCUGUGGCGAAAGCGGCUCACUGGACCAUAACUGACGCUGAUGCACGAAAGCUAGGGGAGCAAACAGGAUUAGAUACCCCUGUAGUCCCUGUCUCUUAUAC
rnacentral:rRNA from 1 species